rnacentral:rRNA from 1 species
GUGAACGCUGGCGGUAGGCCUAACACAUGCAAGUCGAACGGCAGCACAGUAAGAGCUUGCUCUUACGGGUGGCGAGUGGCGGACGGGUGAGGAAUACAUCGGAAUCUACUUUUUCGUGGGGGAUAACGUAGGGAAACUUACGCUAAUACCGCAUACGACCUACGGGUGAAAGCAGGGGAUCUUCGGACCUUGCGCGAUUGAAUGAGCCGAUGUCGGAUUAGCUAGUUGGCGGGGUAAAGGCCCACCAAGGCGACGAUCCGUAGCUGGUCUGAGAGGAUGAUCAGCCACACUGGAACUGAGACACGGUCCAGACUCCUACGGGAGGCAGCAGUGGGGAAUAUUGGACAAUGGGCGCAAGCCUGAUCCAGCCAUACCGCGUGGGUGAAGAAGGCCUUCGGGUUUUAAAGCCCUUUUGUUGGGAAAGAAAAGCAGCAGGUUAAUACCCCGCUGUUCUGACGGUACCCAAAGAAUAAGCACCGGCUAACUUCGUG